GUACCUGACUAAGAAGCCCCGUCUAACUCCGUGCCAGCAGCCGCGGUAAUACGGAGGAUGCGAGCGUUAUCCGGAUUUAUUGGGUUUAAAGGGUGCGUAGGUGGUUAAUUAAGUCAGCGGUGAAAGUUUGUGGCUCAACCAUAAAAUUGCCGUUGAAACUGGUUGACUUGAGUAUAUUUGAGGUAGGCGGAAUGCGUGGUGUAGCGGUGAAAUGCAUAGAUAUCACGCAGAACUCCGAUUGCGAAGGCAGCUUACUAAACUAUAACUGACACUGAAGCACGAAAGCGUGGGGAUCAAACAGGAUUAGAUACCCUGGUAGUCCACGCAGUAAACGAUGAUUACUAGCUGUUUGCGAUACACAGUAAGCGGCACAGCGAAAGCGUUAAGUAAUCCACCUGGGGA
rnacentral:rRNA from 1 species